GAUGAAGAACGUAGCAAAAUGCGAUAAGUAAUGUGAAUUGCAGAAUUCAGUGAAUCAUCGAAUCUUUGAACGCACAUUGCGCCCGCCAGUAUUCUGGCGGGCAUGCCUGUUCGAGCGUCAUUUCAACCCUCAAGCACAGCUUGGUGUUGGGACACGCGUUAAUUCGCGUUCCCCAAAUUGAUUGGCGGUCACGUCGAGCUUCCAUAGCGUAGUAGUAAAACCCUCGUUACUGGUAAUCGUCGCGGCCACGCCGUUAAACCCCAACUUCUGAAUGUUGACCUCGGAUCAGGUAGGAAUACCCGCUGAACUCAAGCAUAUCAAUAAGCGGAGGA
rnacentral:misc_RNA from 1 species